CAUAAGUAACUCGGGUUCUCCUCCCCAAACAUGUGGUUGGCGCAUGCGUCUAACAUACUGACCGAAGUCACCUUCAAUAAACCGUUCAGUGUCCAAACGCCUCUUCAUCAGCUCAUCCGCAACGUUUUCUCUGAGCUCGUCUGCAAGCUCUUUUUGAAGAACUUCGCUUGGAGCCGGCUUCCCCGAUCUGAGACAAGCACCAUGAACCACUGAUCGAAACAAACAUCUUCCAUCACCAGCAAUUCAGAAUGUGAGAACGAUAAAAGAGUAUGCCCUAACGUUGCUAUCACGGAGAAUCGAAUCCGG
rnacentral:misc_RNA from 1 species